CUCGUAGGCGGUUCAGUAAGUUGGGUGUGAAAGCUCCGGGCUCAACCCGGAGAGGCCACCCAAUACUGCUGUGACUAGAGUCCAGUAGAGGAGCGUGGAACUCCUGGUGUAGCGGUGAAAUGCGCAGAUAUCAGGAAGAACACCAGCAGCGAAGGCGGCGCUCUGGGCUGGUACUGACGCUGAGGAGCGAAAGCAUGGGUAGCAAACA
rnacentral:rRNA from 1 species